rnacentral:rRNA from 1 species
GACGAACGCUGGCGGCGUGCUUAACACAUGCAAGUCGAGCGGAAAGGCCCUGCUCUUGUGGGGUGCUCGAGUGGCGAACGGGUGAGUAACACGCGUGUAACCUGCACUUGACUUUGGGGUAAAAUCAGGAAACUGGGGCUAAUAUCGCAUAGGAGCUCCUGCUGCACGGUGGGCGAUGGAAAGUUUCGGCGGUUGGGGCUGGACUCGAGGCUUAUCAGCUGGUUGGUGGGGUAGUGGCUGACCAAGGUUUUGACGGGUAGCCGGCAUGGGAGGGUGGCCGGCCACAUUGGUACUGAGAGACGGCCCAGACUCCUACGGGAGGCAGCAGUGGGGAAUAUUGCACAGUGGGCGGGAGCCUGAUGCAGCAACGCCGCGUGCGGGAUGACGGCCUUCGGGUUGUAAACCGCUUUCGCCUGUGACGAAGCGUGAGUGACGGUAAUGGGUAAAGAAGCACCGGCUAACUACGUG